rnacentral:rRNA from 1 species
AUACGGAGGGUGCAAGCGUUAUUCGGAAUCACUGGGCGUAAAGGACGCGUAGGCGGGUUGGCAAGUCAGAUGUGAAAUCCUACAGCUUAACUGUAGAACUGCAUUUGAAACUGCUAACCUAGAGUAUGGGAGGGGAGAUGGAAUUAGUGGUGUAGGGGUAAAAUCCGUAGAUAUCACUAGGAAUACCGAAAGCGAAGGCGAUCUCCUGGAACAUAACUGACGCUAAGGCGUGAAAGCGUGGGGAGCAAACAGGAUUAGAAACCCCAGUAGUCC